rnacentral:rRNA from 1 species
CGUUGUUCGGAAUUACUGGGCGUAAAGGGCUCGUAGGUGGCCAACUAAGUCAGACGUGAAAUCCCUCGGCUUAACCCGGGAACUGCGUUUGAUACUGUUUGGCUUGAGUACGGGAGAGGAUGGCGGAAUUCCCAGUGUAGAGGUGAAAUUCGUAGAUAUUGGGAAGAACACCAGUGGCGAAGGCGGCCAUCUGGCCCGGUACUGACGCUGAGGCGCGAAAGCGUGGGGAGCAAACAGG